rnacentral:lncRNA from 1 species
AUGCAUAUGUUACAAAGUAAUUUUCAGAGAUGGUUGAAAUACUGAAGCCUUUGAGAAACACUCAUAGAUGUUCAAUAUUUCUUUCAGGUCAUCAGAUUUUGGGACAUUAUAUACAAAGCUGAAUUUGCAGCCUGGGAUUGCCACAGUCAUUGACAACUUCUAUAUCUGUCCCACCAACAAAAAAAAGAGCUCAUAGGUUAUGUCCCAUAAACAAAGCAAACAGAAUGGUGUUGAUAAGAAAUUCAUCCACUGAGACGAUGUCCUGGGAAGCCAGCAAGAAUAAUACCAGGGGAAUAGCCACAAUAUAAGGCUCAAAUGGAUAGAAGAGAGGGCAUUUUCCAUAAAUGUUGUUUAUAAGGAGGUGCAGAACAUGGGAAUGGCAGAGAUUUUAAUGGUUGUAUGAAGAUAAGAAUGAAUAUUUCUAUGGAAUUAAAUCAAAUUGACUAUUGCAGCUUAUUAUAGAAGAAAAGUAAUGCACACCUUUUGUUAAGUGUUUUGAAGAUUCAAGCAUUUUGGAUUAAUAAGACCAGUUUCUUGGAACCCCCCUCUCCCCCCAAAUACAUUGGCCCAAAUAGCCUGGCAUGUUCUGAUUGCUUUCGAGUCAAGCAACUAAAGAAUAAAAGAAGCUGUUUUUAGAGCUGCUUUACA